CAGGAUGUUAGGGAUUGAGCAGAGGCUGGCGUCCUCUUCUCCUUUCCCAAGGCGAGAGAAUCCUGUUCAGCCCUAAUGGCUUCACUUGUGUUCUGAGUUCAUGUAAUGAUAAGACCAUUUCUUCCUUUCGACUUCCUUCAGCAAAGAGUUGUCGAGCAUCCACGUUGUGCCAAGGAUGGUUAGAGCAUGGAGAGGUGCACCCUUUUGGGAGAUGGAGGCAUAUGCAUAGUGGGCCGUGGCUGAGGAUGAGGAUGGAGCAGCUGUGGUCCACCUUUGAGGCCCAUCUCCCUCAAGCAGCUACCAAGCAGUGGUUUGUCUCCAGCAACAGUUCCUACAAAUUACUGAAAAACAGAUAAUCUGAUCUUUCAAAGAGGUGGCAGGAAAGAAUCAGAGACCUGAAUAGGCACUUUACAAAAGAAGAUAUGCAGAUGGCUGAUAAAUACGGAAAAUGCCGCUCAACAUCAUUCCUCACCAGGUAAUACCAGUUACACUCCCCAUGCGCAAUUACCAUGCCUGGACUAACAGGGUGAAAGUAAAAAAGACUAACAAUUCUGAGCU
rnacentral:lncRNA from 1 species